AUGGAGGAGAGGCAGAUCUUACUCAUAAUACUCAUCACAGUUUCAGGAGGAUUUGCUGCUGGAAUUGGACCAAGUGAAGGAGAUACUAAUAUAAUCAGAGAAGAAGGAAAGUCUGUGACACUGAGCUGCACAUAUGAAACAGACAGCAACACAAUUUGGCUUUACUGGUACAGACAAUAUCCCAACAGAGGACCAGAAUAUAUUCUGUAUAAAGGUGCUCGAUCAUGGAGCAGUGAUAAUGAUAUACCAGAUGGGUUUCAAUCAACUACAUCCCAGUCAUCCACUGAACUCACUAUUAACAGUGUAACUCUGUCAGAUUCAGCUCUCUAUUACUGUGCUCUAAGAGUUGGAGCCCAGUGA